UGGGGAAUAUUGCACAAUGGGCGAAAGCCUGAUGCAGCGACGCCGCGUGAGGGAUGACGGCCUUCGGGUUGUAAACCUCUUUCAGCAGGGAAGAAGCGAAAGUGACGGUACCUGCAGAAGAAGCGCCGGCUAACUACGUGCCAGCAGCCGCGGUAAUACGUAGGGCGCAAGCGUUGUCCGGAAUUAUUGGGCGUAAAGAGCUCGUAGGCGGUUAGUCGCGUCUGCUGUGAAAACUCGAGGCUCAACCUCGGGCUUGCAGUGGGUACGGGCUGACUAGAGUGCGGUAGGGGUGACUGGAAUUCCUGGUGUAGCGUGGAAUGCACAGAUAUCAGGAGGAACACCGAUGGCGAAGGCAGGUCACUGGGCCGCAACUGACGCUGAGGAGCGAAAGCAUGGGGAGCGAAGC
rnacentral:rRNA from 1 species